UACGUAGGGUGCAAGCGUUGUCCGGAAUUAUUGGGCGUAAAGAGCUCGUAGGCGGUCUGUCGCGUCUGCUGUGAAAACUCAGGGCUUAACCCCGGGCCUGCAGUGGGUACGGGCAGACUAGAGUGCGGUAGGGGAGACUGGAAUUCCUGGUGUAGCGGUGAAAUGCGCAGAUAUCAGGAGGAACACCGAUGGCGAAGGCAGAUCUCUGGGCCGUAACUGACGCUGAGGAGCGAAAGCAUGGGGAGCGAACAGG
rnacentral:rRNA from 1 species